rnacentral:lncRNA from 1 species
ACAUUUCCACCGCAAUGCCUUCACCUCUGCCGCAACCCCAGCCGUGCACGGGGUCCUUCCUUUGGCAAUACCGCACGAUCCAUGUCGUACACACGUUUCAAUACCUUUGUCGUACACAUCUGCAAGCAGUUGCAAGGUACUCACCCUCGGCAGUCGUAGCAGCAGCAGCAGCAGCAGCAGGAGGGCCACGGUGGCCCCUCACGUAGCAGGCCCAGGCUCAUGCGGUCAGAUAGCGACAUGCAAACGGGAACGGCCGCGCGUUUGAACAAGCCAGCGCGUCAUGU